GAAAGAAUUACGAGCAUCCUACCACAGCGAUCGGCACAGUCUGUUACAGCUGAAUCUAGGAAACAGCCCAACGAAUGGAUAAAGAAGAUUGGGGUUUUGUACAAUGGAGUACUACUCUGCCGUAAGGAAGGAUGCAUUUGAGACAUCACUUGUUCUCCUGCCUCAGGGCCUUUGCACAUGCCAUUUGCCUCACCCCAUCCUUCUGGACCCAGCCCUCUUCCUCCCUCAGUUUGUUCGCAGGUUGUCAUCUGACCUCUCACUGGAGUAUAAGCCCAUGACGCAGGUCUUGUCCUCUCUGCUGAUAUCACCUCAGUAUCCACCAC